UACGUAGGGUGCAAGCGUUAAUCGGAAUUACUGGGCGUAAAGCGUGCGCAGGCGGCUAUGCAAGACAGAUGUGAAAUCCCCGGGCUCAACCUGGGAACUGCAUUUGUGACUGCAUGGCUAGAGUGCGGCAGAGGGGGAUGGAAUUCCGCGUGUAGCAGUGAAAUGCGUAGAUAUGCGGAGGAACACCGAUGGCGAAGGCAAUCCCCUGAGCCUGCAACUGACGCUCAUGCACGAAAGCGUGGGGAGCAAACAGG
rnacentral:rRNA from 1 species